rnacentral:rRNA from 1 species
UACGGAGGAUGCGAGCGUUAUCCGGAUUUAUUGGGUUUAAAGGGUGCGUAGGCGGCUUUUUAAGUCAGCGGUGAAAUUUUGCAGCUUAACUGUAACAGUGCCGUUGAUACUGGGGAGCUAGGAUUUGGUUGCUGUGGGUGGAAUGUGUGGUGUAGCGGUGAAAUGCUUAGAGAUCACACAGAAUAUCGAUUGCGAAGGCAGCUCACAAAGCCAAGAUUGACGCUGGGGCACGAAAGUGUGGGGAUCAAACAGGAUUAGA